UGAAUAACGCGGUGGUCUCGUCCUCCUGACUGUUCCAGUUUCAGAGCACCGCCAUGGCCGCCGUCACAGCCACCGUCUUCUCCGCCGGUGCGCGUUUACUGAACCCCCGGGCCACGCUUGCAACAUCAACAUCUCAUUUUCUUUCCUUCUCUUCUUCUCACUCCUCGAGAUUGGGCCUCCCCUCUCUGCAGCUACGCAAGCCCCCGCCGGCGAGAAAGCUCGUAGUCCGAGCCGCAAGAACCGAGUCCAAAGGUGUCUCUCUAGGAUUCAGGCCUCCACAUUUUGAGCUUCCGGAACCGCUUACUGGAAAAACGUGGAAACUGGAUGACUUUGAAGCGCACCCUGCGUUACUGGUUAUGUUCAUUUGCAACCACUGCCCAUUUGUUAAACACCUGAAAAACGAUAUUGUGAAGCUCUCAAAUUUCUAUAUGAAGAAAGGGCUUGCAGUUGUUGCAAUAUCUUCCAAUUCUGUAGCCACUCAUCCACAGGAUGGACCGCAAUUCAUGGCAGAAGAAGCUAAAUUAUUUAACUACCCUUUUCCUUAUCUUUAUGAUGAGUCACAGGAUGCUGCAAGAGAUUUUAGAGCUGUUUGCACACCUGAGUUUUUCCUAUUCAAAAAGGAUGGUCGAAGGCCUUUUGAGUUGGUCUAUCAUGGACAGUUUGAUGAUUCGCGACCAAGUAAUAAUGUGCGGGUCACCGGGAGGGACUUGAGCCUUGCUAUUGACUGUGUUCUCAGUGGCCAACCAAUAUCAGCAGUCCAGAAACCCAGUGUUGGGUGCAGCAUAAAAUGGCAUCCAGAGACAAGGUUAUAAUACAUAAUGUUGGUUUAUUUUUCUCAUCAUUGUGCCUAGUAUUACUUUCAGUAUUCUUUAGGUACCAUUUUGCUCUGGUCCUUCAGUUACUGAUGCAAUGAGGUGAUGAUAAUAUGUGCCAUUUAAGCUGUAAUUUUGUAAAAUAACUGUUUCGUGUCUAUAGAAUGUUCAGAAUUCUUCUCCAAAUUCAAAUUGCAGCUAAUAAAAGUCUACUCUUUUGUUGUUCCUC